UUUGUCAUGAAUCCAUUUGUGUCCUUUGUUUAAUAUGCACAUAGACCAAGGUGAGCGACACAGGCUCUUUAGAGCCUCUAGUUCUUUUUGUUAAUCUUUUACAUGUAUAAUGAUAAGCCAUCUGUUAAAGUCUUAUAAAACUUUAAUUAUUUUUUAACAGUUUUUGAGAACUUCAACUUGUCAAUGAUAAAGCUAUGAAAAGUCAAGAGAGAAUAUUUUCCCGCAAAAAUUUCAAUGGCUAAUAUCUUGAAAACAGGCACGGUGACCUAUGUAUGUUUUUUUGCUCUUUGAAUUCCUUUAUUAAUCCCCUAUCAAUAUAAACUAGUGUUAUGAAAAGUUAAUUAUUUUGAAACUGAGAAGGGAACUCCCUUAAGUUUAACAAUCAAAGUUUAUGAGACUUGGUCCCCUUGGUGUUUUCCAUACCAAAACAUUGUCUUAGCCUUUUCAUGUUAUAUUAUUUGGAGAUGGCAUCUUUCUUAGACUGGCAGAUUUCACUAGCUGCACAUAUGUUUCACUCAGUAGACAUAAUUCAUUCAAACUUGUGUUGUGUUUUGUUAAGUUGCUUUUUAGUCCAUUUUUUACUUUUAAUUUUAAAUCUGGGUAACUUUUUUAGGUUUUCUGUACCAAAAAAUGGACUUGCCUAUUUCUGCAAAUAUCCAUAUAGGCAUCCUUAUAUGCUUGGAAACAACAUGACAGAUUUCAACCAACCUUGGACAUAUUUUUCAACAUUUUAAUCUAAGUGAUUUUUGGGUGUUUUCCAUACCAAAACAUUGUCUUAGCCUUUUCAUGUUAUAUUAUUUGGAGAUGGCAUCUUUCUUAGACUGGCAGAUUUUAUUAAGGAAGCUGGCUUGUCAUGUUUUGGAUAAUUUGUCAGAUUUUCGGUAUCCUCUGGUUUUAUCCAUUUGAAUGCCUUGAAAAAUUUUGCCCGGUGACCCCAAUUUUUCUUUUUGUAAAUCUUUUACAUGUACAAUGAUAAACCAUCUGUAAAAGUCUUAUAAAAUUUUGAUUACUUUCUAACAGUUUUUGAGAACCUUAACUUGUCAAUGAUAAAGUUAUGAAAAGUCAAGAGAGAAUAUUUUCCCGCCAAAAUUUCAAUGGCUUAUAUCUCGAAAACAAGCACGGUGACCUAUAUAUUUUUUUAGCAUUUUGGUUUCUUUUAUUAAUCCCCUAUCAAGAUAAACUAGUGUUUUGAAAAGUUAAUUACUUUGAAACUGAGAAGCGAACUCCCUUAAAAAGAUAUCUGGGUAAAUUUUAGACAGAAAUACUCAUGUAUAGUUAUAAUAUUUAUGUUUCAUUAAACUGGUAUGUUCAUGAAUUAUUGUUAAAGCAUUCAAGUUCAUUUCAGGUAACAAGUACCAUAUGGAAUAUGUAUAAGAUUUUCUUUUUGUAAUAUUUUUUUUGCCAUAUGGUCCGAGACCACAAUUAUUUCAUAGUGCAUUUCUUUUAGAAGAUGAAUGAAAAUUUAAAAAAUCCCACCUGUGCUUUCUCAAUGAAAUUUUUACAGUGUGUUGUACUACUUUUGGGACAAAUUAUAUCAAAAUUAUAGAAAACUUCAUCAGCUCUAACUCAAAAUAUGGACAGUUUUAUGUUUAGGGUGUCUUGAAAUCUUUUGACAGCUUCCGAAGUGCUAACUUUCAACCUUUUUCAGCUGGACCAAAUCACUACUUUCCUUUAAAAUUCUGAACCCAAAUUUUUUUACAGUGUAAUUUCACCCCCUUCUUGCAAUUUGAGGCAUUAAACAUGGAGAAAUAAAUUUGGAAGGGGCAUAAAAAUUAAUGGCAAGUAACCCACUGUCAACACUAGGGACUAUAUUUGUGAACAACGAAAAUCAAGGGACGACCAAUUGGUCUCGGACCAUAUUUUAUUGUUGUCAUUAAAAUCUUAUAGCCAACAAAGUGUGAUGUAUUAAUGUGAGACACUUAAAGUGUUCAUUUGAUGUCAUGUGGCUUCCUUUUGAGUUUAUAUGUCAUCUAGCAACAACAUUUCUGAAAAUGGGUAGCUAGUUUUGUGGAAUUUCUAUAUUUGAAUCAACCAUAUAAAGGAAAAUGUGUUUUGUAUAGUAUUAGGUUGUAUAGAUUCAUGCUUGGUAUUAUAAGCUUUGCUUACAUAUACAUGUAUCUUGUUUUUACUGUUACACAUACAUGUAUCUACUUACCUACCUCCACUACAGAUGGCUCAUAGACCUCAUGUUUUCAUACAUAUUCCAGUUAUAAAUCACUUCAUAAUGAAUUUAUCUUGAUGUUAGUGGUACAUUGCUUGACAUAAACCUCUUACACUGAGACAUAGUUCAAAUGUGUUUCUUUUCUUUGAGUUAUUCACAGAAUACUGGUUUUUCCAAAUCAUUGACAAGAUCUUUAUAUUAUUAGACCCUUCUUAGCAUUCUGGUUCAAAGGGCUAGAUAUCUUUACUAUCACUUUGAGCAUCCAUCAUCUGUUUUAAGUGUAUUUUUACAAAAUCUACACCUUCGAAACUAUUGGACCAAAUGGAACUAAUCCUGGCCUGUAUCAUCCUUUUCAAAGUUAUUGCUGCUGAACUUAUGCAUUGAAUAUACAGGAUCUUAAGAGACUCUUAUUUUAAAUCUUUGUUAUUAAAUUGUUGUUUAAAAUUCAUGACAUUGACAUAUUUGCUAUUAUUCUUUAAUGAACUUGAGGUCACAAAAGUAAGAAAAUAAAAAUGUAUGACUUUGUAUAUAGAUGCAUCUUGUUACGAAGUUUCCAUCAGUCACAUGUCAAAUGUCCUUGACCUCAUUUUCAUGGUUCAGUGACUGUGUUAAAUUUUCUCUUAUUAUAAGUAAUAGGAUAACUAUAUUUGGUAUGUGCGUACCAUACAAGGUCCUCAUGCCUGUCAGACAGUUUUCACUUGACCUCAACCUCAAUUCAUGGAUCAGUGAACAAGGUUAAGUUUUGGUGGUCAAGUCCGUAUCGCAGAUACCAUAAGCAAUAGGAGUAGUAUAUUUGAUGUAUUGAAGGAUUGUACGGAUAUUAAGCAAACAACAAUCAAUCACUCAUAGAUUAGAAUCAUGACCACUUGCUUUAUUCAUUUAUCUUACACAUGAGGGUCUUGCAAGGUUGGUUCAUUUAUCCUUUUUUUUGGGGUCACCAAUCUUAUAUAUUUUAUUUUAUUAACAAACAAAGAUAUUUAAUUAGUUUUACACUUUUGGAGUAGUCUUUUGUUAAAAACAAACUAACAUGUUUAACCUCGCCACAUUCUGUAUGUAUGUGCUUGUCCCAAGUCAGGAGCCUGUAAUUCAGUGGUUGUAGUUUGUUUAUGUGUUACAUAUUUGUUUUUCGUUCAUUUUUUGUACCUAAAUUUGGCUGUUAGUUUUCUCGUUUGAAUUGUGUUACAUUGAUAUUUCGGGGCCUUUUAUAGCUGACUAUGCAGUAUGUGCUUUGCUCAUUGUUGAAGGCCUUUUAGUGACCUAUAGUUGGUAAUUUCUGUGUCAUUUUGGUCUCUUGUGGAGAGUUGUCUCAUUGACAAUCAUACCACAUCUUCUUUUUUUAUAAUCAAAAGUUCAACUAGACUGAAGAAUAGUAGAACUAUAACCAACAAUAGUAAAACACUGAACAAACUUUAAAGUACACUGAACAAAAGUAAAACUACUCUUAGUGAUAUAGCAGACUUUGAUUCUGUAGUGUUUUAAACUAAUUAUUCAUAGAGACAAUUUUAAAUACAAACUAAGCGUUAUCUUUUUUUAAUAUUAUUACAUUUAAUUAUCAUAAUAAUUAAAAUAUAAACCAUGACAAAUUGCAUAAUAUUUUAUUUCUUUGUUUAACUUAUUGAUUAACAUUGCUCAAAAGAGGUGAAAAAUUAAACUGUUCACAAACAUUUGUUUAGGGAAAUCUGCAUUAUUGAUGAUCAGUAUAUCAAAAGCCCAGUGGUCACAUACGCUAUUUAAGAGUGGUUUUCCACAACUUUUAAAUGUGGCACAACACACUUGGAUAUCAAGCCAUAUCUCAUGAUAAAUAUAGUUUUUGAGAUUUUGAGAUAAUAUGAGAUACUUUGUAAAUUACUCUGAAUCAUUCUGUUUAUCCAUGUUAUCUUCAACAUUUGUUUUAUGGUAGAGAUUGCAUGAAAUGCAAUCAAAACCUUAUGGUACUGACUUGAUAUAUAAAUCUUCAAAGGCUUAUCACUACCUUUUUGAAAGACAAAAUGUAGUACACUGAUCAUAACAUUCUAUUCAUCCUAUUCAUGAACAUUAAUUUAUCAAUGUGAUAUACACUCAAGAUAUUGAAUUAAUGCAAUCUUUACCCACAGUGCUUACAAGCACUUUGAUUUGAUUAUCCUGUUGGUAUCUUCUGUAUUUUUUACAUAUAAAAUAUUUUAAAGUGAUAGAAAUAUUAGGGUCACAAUUCCUAGUGAGAAAAUAUGAUCAUUUAAGAACAACAUUUACUUAUGUUUAUACUAUAUAAUGGAUUUAUUUUAUUGUUGUGUUAUAAUGUUGCUGUUAAUAUUGUUUAUGCUUGUUGGAAAUUUGUUAAAGGAGAUUUCUUAUAUGUGUG
rnacentral:lncRNA from 1 species